rnacentral:rRNA from 1 species
AGAGUUUGAUCCUGGCUCAGAUUGAACGCUGGCGGCGUGCCUAACACAUGCAAGUCGAGCGGUAACAGGUGUAGCAAUACAUGCUGACGAGCGGCGAACGGGUGAGUAAUGCUUUGGAAUCUUCCCAGUAGUGGGGAAUAACCAGUCGAAAGAUUGGCUAAUACCGCAUACGUCUGUAAAGGGAAAGCGGGGGCUCGUAAGACCUCGCGCUAUUGGAUGAGCCAAAGUCGGAUUAGCUAGUUGGUGGGGUAAUGGCCUACCAAGGCGACAAUCCGUAGCUGGUCUGAGAGGACGACCAGCCACACCGGAACUGAGACACGGUCCGGACUCCUACGGGAGGCAGCAGUGGGGAAUAUUGGACAAUGGGGGAAACCCUGAUCCAGCGACGCCGCGUGUGUGAAGAAGGCCUGCGGGUUGUAAAGCACUUUUAGUGGGGACAAAAAGCUACGGAUUAAUACUCUGUGGUCUUGAUUUAACCCAAAGAAAAAGCACCGGCUAACUCUGUGCCAGCAGCCGCGGUAAUACAGAGGGUGCGAGCGUUAAUCGGAAUUACUGGGCGUAAAGCGCGCGUAGACGGUUUUGUAAGUCAGAUGUGAAAUCCCUGGGCUCAACCUGGGAACUGCAUUUGAGACUGCAUGGCUAGAGUAUCGAAGAGGGAAGUGGAAUUUCCGGUGUAGCGGUGAAAUGCGUAGAUAUCGGAAGGAACACCAGUGGCGAAAGCGACUUCCUGGUCGAAUACUGACGUUCAUGUGCGAGAGCGUGGGGAGCAAACAGGAUUAGAUACCCUAGUAGUCC